UGGAAAUGAUGAAAUAGAGAUAACUGGGUGUCAAAUGUUGUACGAUUAGAAAUUUUUAAUAUGUAAGUUAAGAGAUUAAUCUAAGUUUGGGGCGCCUGGGUGGCGCAGUCGGUUAAGCGUCCGA